UGGGGAAUUUUGGACAAUGGGCGAAAGCCUGAUCCAGCAAUGCCGCGUGUGUGAAGAAGGCCUUCGGGUUGUAAAGCACUUUUGUCCGGAAAGAAAUCCUUGGCUCUAAUACAGUCGGGGGAUGACGGUACCGGAAGAAUAAGCACCGGCUAACUACGUGCCAGCAGCCGCGGUAAUACGUAGGGUGCAAGCGUUAAUCGGAAUUACUGGGCGUAAAGCGUGCGCAGGCGGUUUGCUAAGACCGAUGUGAAAUCCCCGGGCUCAACCUGGGAACUGCAUUGGUGACUGGCAGGCUAGAGUAUGGCAGAGGGGGGUAGAAUUCCACGUGUAGCAGUGAAAUGCGUAGAGAUGUGGAGGAAUACCGAUGGCGAAGGUAGCCCCCUGGGCCAAUACUGACGCUCAUGCACGAAAGCGUGGGGAGCAAACAGGAUUAGAUACCCUGGUAGUCCACGCCCUAAAACGAUGUCAACUAGUUGUUGGGGAUUCAUUUCCUUAGUAACGUAGCUAACGCGUGAAGUUGACCGCCUGGGGAGUACGGUCGCAAGAUUAAAACUUAAAUGAAUUGACGGG
rnacentral:rRNA from 1 species